UGUGGUUGGUUGCCGUUGCCGUUGCCCCUGUUUCCUUCAGGCCGGGAAUUUGGAGGCGGAGGGAGAAUUGGGGAACAGGGGGAAUAACUGAAGACUCAACUCUAUUUCCUUCAGACUCCACCACUUGUCCAACAUGCAGGUCAGCUUCAACGCGGCGGUGCUCUGUGCCGCGCCAGGCUGUGACCACCACGGUUGCCAAGGAGGGCCAUUUCCAUCUGGUCGCCGUGUCCACCAUUCUGCCGGGAACAGUGACUUCCGUAUGGAUGUAAUUGUCGGAGACUCGCGCGUGGACCGAGCUCGCCUCUCUUCAUCACCACGAUGACAAGUGCCCUUUUAGCUUGGCCGCGCCUUAGCGUCCUUGUGGGCGAUGCACUCUACUUCGACGUUGGUGGGAUCGUGGAGUGCCAACUUGGCGCGCUCCGCUUGUCAGUGUUGAAGAAGCCGGUCGCGGGCAAGGGGUGUCUCAUGGCGGCGCAAGACAGCCGAUCUAACCCUAUGGUCAAUGGAGACUGGGCCGGAGGGGGCCAUGGGGUGCGCAAAACUCAGAGUGGUCGAUCUUAGGACUUUGCUCCUUGACGGUGCCCCCUGGAUCCCAGCACCUAGCGAUGGGAUUAUUGGCGUCUCUCGCCGAGGCCACCCCAGAUCAUUUAUGCUAGAACAUAUGAUGGUACCUACAUACAUGGUCGAUCUCAAGCCAGGCGGAGUGAGGAAGAAAAAAAGCUUACCCCACAGUCAAUACGGCGCAGUAGCAGUACAUGUACAUCCCUGUUCCUUCAGGCAUCCAAUGUGACAUUCCCCUCCCAAACUGAACAAAUAGCAACAUACACUUGUCAGCUUAUCACAAAAGGAGAUUGCCAAAGCUAAGAAAAACAGCAUGAUAUCUCGAUACAGAAAAAAAAAUCAUGAAAGCAUGUCAAUAUAAGCACCGCAAUGGUCUACAGUCUGUGAUUGGUGAGCAUACUUGGUCAGAAUAGAAAGCAGCACACUUGGGUCACUAAAUUUAUUUUUCCCAAAAUUACGGAGCCUGCAAAAGCCAAGAAGAAAAGGAAAUUAUCUUUCUGGUAGGAAAUAGCAAAUUCAUGGCGGAAAUUAAAAGUGUUCAGUAUGAGGAUGAAAUGAUCAGAUUCAAACAUUUCUCCGCACACUUCUUCUCUAUGAGACCGACAAUCACGGCAGGAACAGGUUCUGGUCCACGACCGACUAGGCCUUUCAGUUCAGUGCCUCGCAAAUCUUAACACAUUCAGUGGAACAAUGCCGCUCCUGCAGCAGGCAAUCAACCAUUAAUACAGAUCUUUGCUCUUAUAUACAAAGCUCUCAACAUAUCUCGGACUGUAGACAUCACCGUAAAAUCAGCCAUGUCCUGUUCUUUCAGGCAUCCAACGCUCCGACACUGAAAAAAUAGCAACAUACACUCGUCAGCUUAUCACAAAACCAGCAUGAUGUCUAAAUCAGAAAAAUCAUGAAAGCAUGCCAAUACUCAAUGUAAACUACACUAGAGUCUAUGAUUGAUGAACAAAACAGCACAGUUCGGUCACCAAAUUUCUUUUCCCCCAAAUCAUGGAGCCUACAAAAGCCAAGAAGAGGAACAAACCAGGUGGUGGCUAGCUGCAAGCUGCAGGGCGUUUGGGGGUGGCUCCGUGACGCGCCGCCACGCCGGCCUGGACCUUCCCCCACCGGAGCGGCGGCAGUGCUAGGUGAGGGGGGAGCGACAACGCGGUCGACACGAGCGGCCGCGCUGGUCGUCAGGGGUGGAGAGCGCGGAGAGGGAGCAAGGCGGGGGCUGGGGCUGGGGCUGGCAGAGAGACGGCGGCGGAGAGGGCGGGCAGAGCAAGCCGCGGCGGCGUGUGGGGAAAGGGGAUUUUUUUUUUGAGCAACCGGGGAGAAGGUGAGAUGGGUGGGCAAAGAGGAGUGGGUGAUGUGUGUGUGGUUCAAGUUUUUUUUGUGUUUAUAGGAAACGAAGAAAAUACUCCUGGCAGCUCCCUUUCCUCUUUCUUCUCACCAGGUGGUACCCCCUGAAGAGAGCAGUUUCCUUCCCCUUCCCUCCGUUCGUUGCCCCAUUGGCGACGGCAGGUUUGGGAUUUCUUUUGGUUCAUGUCUAGGUGUAGGCUUAGUUUUAGUUUGUUCACGCAACGUCGUUCGGUCGGUGCCGACAUCUUCACCUGGAAUAAAUUUUUCCGAACCACGACCUUGACAGCGUUCUACGACGGCUUUGAGGAGUCACAGAUUUCUGUCCAGGCAAGGCCUUAAAGACAACGGUGGAGAUCUUGCCGAGGGUCUUGUUUCUUCGACUUUGUCCACGCCGCGUCAACGGUUCCUUCAGCGUUGUCGCGAAGCCAAAAGUGUUGGUGUUGGAGGUGGCCGGCGUUGUGGCGGCUGUACCGUUCGAGGUAUAUGGUGCACCUAGAGUUUCUUCGAAGGUGGAAGAUGGUUGCCGGUUCUGGAACCCCUCGGCGGCGCUGCCGCAUGAAGACUUCAGAAUCACGAAACAACAGGAGUGGAGAUUUGUUUUGUCCCACUACCCACAUCGACAAGUGCAACGUCGUUCGCAGCAGCGCCUGUUCGAAGGCUCACUGUCAGGACCCCGACUCAAUGCCACAUCGAUCUAGCAUGUAACACCUCAUAUCACUUUGCGGCCUCACGCACGGUAUUCCCACGGGUGUCACCUUACCUUUGCCCGAGACCGUUUGCGCCUUUUGGCACACGUAUAUGAUGGUGUCGCUAGCAUCCAUAUGAUAAGGAGCCCGGGCUGACAUGGCUAGUCGUAAACCCAAAGUGGCACAAACUUACAGGGACAGGCAUCCAUGACCCAGCAUCGAACGUGUCGGUCAUCAGCGAGUGAAUCCAGGCUGUAGCACUGGGCUAGCAGGACUCCGGUGAACCGGGAUAUAGCGGGCUAAUAGGACUCUGGUAUUCAUCGUGUGACAUUUCCCCGAAGGGACAGACACAGGAACGAAGAAGGACACAUGUCGGCCAGCCUAAGUGUUCCGGAGCAGUAGCAAGCUACCAUGGCUCAGUGGAAGCACUAGGAGACAUUUCCCGGUAAGAGAGGCUACCAAGGAUAAACAACUAGAUAGUCAGAUCCCACACAUACCAAGCAUUUCAAUAACAUACACAUAAUGCUCGAUAUGUGUAAAUACAACAUGGCAUCACAACAUAACUCUACGACUCAAGUAUUUUAUUCAAUAGGCUCCGAGGAGCGAGAUAUUACAAACAUGGGUCUCACGACCCAACAUUCAGAGCAUACAAGUCAAAGCACAAACAGAAGCUUAACAUGUCUGAGUACAGACAUCUACAAAUGAAAAGGGCUGAGAAGCCUGACUGUCUACCAGAUCCUGCCGAUGGCACAAGAUCGUAGCUGUGGUAACAAGCUAAACGUCGAAGUCCAAGCGAAACUACUAGUGAGACUGAAGUCUCUCUGCAAAAACAUAAAAUAGGCAAACGUGAGUACAAAUGUACCCAGCAAGACUUACAUCAAAACUAUCUACAUAUGCAUCAUUAUCAACAAAGAGGAUGGUGGGGUUUAACUGCAACAAGCCAGCUUUGACUCAGUGGCUAUCCUAAACUACGAUCGCAAGUAACUCUUUUGAGGUGGCGCACACGAGUCCACAUAUUCACCAUAUCAAUACACCACUAUGGAUCCGCUCCCGUCUCCCUACGAGAACGCCAUCCAUAGCACUCACACUUAUCUUGCAUAUUUUAGAGUAUCCACUUUCACUUGUCUAUGAACUAUACAGGCAACCCAGAAGUCCUUUUCCGCGGACACGGCUAUUCGAAUAGAUGAUAUUAACCCUGCAGGGGUGUACUUCUUCACACACGCUCCCACCACUUACCACCGUUUACACGACAUGUACUCGGCAACCUUCAAGCGAAAGCCCAACGAGGGUGUCGGCCACGACCUACCUAAACACUCAAGUCUCUAGUCCAGGUUUAUCACCUAUUCGGGUUCCAUCCGCGAGGAGAUCCGGCCGGAGUUUUGCUCACAGCCCCAAACGAUGUGUGCAGGGUUCCCGAGACACCAAACGGGCGCCCGGUACACCGUGCCACGUGCCUACCGCAUCACAGCCCACCCCUCCGGUCAGCGCUGCCCACAGCCUCCAGCAUACUACAAACACCAGAAACUACUUGCAACUCCUGAACAGAGGACAAGGGUGAUUAAGAAGCCGAGAGGGUCCAUUGGUUUCGGGCCCAAUGCAUGGUAGUAACUGUUUCAUGGAUCACAAACACAGAACUCAGUUCCUGAGGACGGUUUCAGUGAGACAACCCACCAUGUACUCCUACAUGGCCUCUCACUGCUACCUUUACCAAAUCGUAUUCACACACUUUGCUCACACACACAGUAGGACAUGUUCACACACCUCUGAUUCAUUCCCGAUGAAUCAGACCUGACUCAACUCUAAGCAAUAGCAGGCAUGACUAACAAGCAUGAAUGAGGAGGCACAACAGGGGCUCAAACAACUCCUACUCAUGCUAGUGGGUUUCAUCUAUUUACUGUGGCAAUGACAGGUCAUGCAGAGGAUAAAGGGGUUCAGCUACCGUAGCAAGUAACAGAUGAAUCGUUGUUGUCCUAAUGCAGUAAAAGAGAGCAGGAGUGAGAGAGUGGGAUUGUAUCGGAAUGAACAAGGGGGUUUUUCUUGCCUGGCACUUCUGAAGAUAAUAUAGCUCUUCAUCGGUGUCAUCGAACUCAUCGUCGGAACACGUCUAUCGAGAGGGGGCAAAUACCGGCAACCGAGAAGAAAUACAAUCAAUGCAAUGCACAAUAUGAUGCAUGAUCAUGACAUGGAAAUAUGUUGUGAUUUGGGCUAAUGCAGAUAAGAGCAGGAAGGUUUGAGCUUAUUUGAACCAAAGAUUCAAAUUCAAACUCAAACUAUGAAUUCAUAAAGUGCAUUAUCAUGUUUUGAUAUGAACAGCAAGGUUAAGUAGCUUAAACAUGCAUGAAACCAGUGCAGAUGGAUAUAUUGGAUUUUUCUGAUCAUUUUUCAUAUAUAAAUUAUUUCAUUCUGAGUUACGGUUAAAUUUCUAUGAAUUUUAGAAGUUUAGAGCAUUUUCUGGAAUUUCCUGUAUAAAAAUAAAUCCAGAAAAUACUUAUUGCGUCAGCAUUGCGUCAGGGUGACGUCAGCAGGUCAAAGGCGCCAGCCCAGGUCAAACCUGACGGCUGGGACCCACAUGUCAGUGUAACAACUAACUAACAGAGUUAGUUAGCGUUAGGUUAGCACUAACCUAGGUUAAUUAGAGCCUGGGCCCACUUGUCAGUUAGUCAACUAAUUAACUAGGUUAAUUAGUGCUAAUUAAACUCACACCUAAACUAAAUAGGGGCAUGGCCCACGCGUCAGUGACCCUGGGGGGGGGGGGUCAAACCCCAAGUCAAACGACUCAACCUCGCCGGAGUUGGUCCACGGCUCAUCGCCGGUGAUGCCAGAGACGGCGGAGGUGCUCGGGUUUGCGUCUCCGGCGACCAAACGGGCGGCCGAGAGCACGCGCGAGGAGCUGGGGCUCGCCCGCAUCCAGGGAGGCAUGCGGCAACAACAGGGACGGCCGGAGCUCGCCGGAAACGAGCUCGAGGCGGCGCCAGUGUUCGGGUGUUUCUGGCUACGGGGCUGCAGUGGCUGUGGUAUCGCGUUCGUGGCACCUACAGCAGCUACGCGAGGCAGCGAGCAUGUUGGACACGACGCCCGGACCAAAUGGUCGCCGGAGUCGUGUCGGCGGCGAGUGCAGGCGGCGGCGCAGUCGGGCGAGAGGGGCGUGGUGGCUACAGCAUGCCAGAGAGAGAACGGAGAGGGGUAGGAUGAUCAGAAGCUCACGUAGAUCACGACGGGCGAGUCGGUGAGCUCGGGGAGGGGCCGGAGCGAGCGGGGCGGCGGAGGCGAUCUCGGCGACCCGAGGAAGAAGAAGGCGUCGGGGGCGGCGCGGCAGGGCGUCCGGCGAGGCUUGGCUCGUAGAGGAUGAAGCUGGAGAUGAUACGGAGCUCGGGGAGGCAGAGAUGGAGCAAGGGAGUGGUUGUGGGCGCGGGGUUACGGCGGCGCAUCCAUGGAGGUUUCGGCCAUGGCGGAGAACGGGCCAGCGAGAGGAGUUGGGGGCGAAUGGAGGGGUCCAGGGGGUCGGGGCGACGACGUGGAGGUCGUCCAGACAUUCAGGGGCGCGAGCGGCAAGCAGGAGGUGGCGGGAAGACGUGGCCGCGGCCGCUCGCGUGCGGGCAUGCAGCUGCUUCGGGGCGAGGGGAGGAAGACGACGGAGGGCUGCGGUGGUGGGCUGGGCCAGUUGGCCAGGCCGCCAGCUGGGCCGGCCAGGUGGGCUGGGCCGGCACAGUGCCAGGCCAGGUAAGUGGCCCAGGUAAAAUCUCUCUCUCUCUUUUAUUUAUUGUUUCGGUUUUCUAUUAUUCUGUAGUCUUUAGGGCUUUAUAUAAAAUACUUAAACAGAUCCAAAAAUCAUGAAACUAAUCAUGGCUACUGUUUAGAAUAUAUUCAACAGUAAACAUUUUAGUUUAUGAUUAUUUGAGCAUUUAAAAUAUUUUAUAGUAUUUAAAUGCCCAAAUGCAAAUAGAGUAUAAUUUAAUUCAGAGCCCAAUAUGUCCUGCAAAAAUAUAAACCAUUUUUGGUAGAUGCUUACACCUCAAACCAGAAAUGUUGAACAUUUUUAGAGGGCAUUUUGAGUUCAAUGAAAAACAUUUUAUUUUGACCCUAGUUGGAUUCAUUUGGUGCUAGGGUUUAAACAAUCCCCAUUUCAAGUUUCUUUAAAUUUAAACAUGAUGCAUGGAUGCUUAUGCAGAGACAAGCAAGGCUUGAACUGGGGACGUGACAACUCACCCCCACUAAACAAGAAUCUCGUCCCGAGAUUCAAGCGUAGGGUAAGAUGAAAUGGGAGCGCAAACUAACACAAUCUUCAUGAUCCAGGUUGCACUUCAAAUGAACGUUGAUUCGAUCACCAUCAUUGACUCGAUGUCUUCCUCCAGAAACUCCUACCAAUAUGACCACGAGAGGGAAAAGAAACUCUAGAAGGAUCGAUCUUCUCAAAGAUCGAGCAACUCAUGAUGUCUAAAUCAGAAAAAUCAUGAAAGCAUGCCAAUACUCAAUGUAAACUACACUAGAGUCUAUGAUUGAUGAACAAAGCAGCACAGUUCGGUCACCAAAUUUCUUUUCCCCCAAAUCAUGGAGCCUACAAAAGCCAAGAAGAGGAACAAACCAGGUGGUGGCUAGCUGCAAGCUGCAGGGC
rnacentral:lncRNA from 1 species